ACAUGAGCAGAGGGGAGAAACAGAGCAGAAGGAGAAGUAAACUCCCCACUGAGCAGGGAGCCUGAUGCAGGGAUGAUCCCAGGACCUGGAAAUCAGGACCCUGAGAUCAUGACCUGAGCUGAAGGCAGAUGGUUAACCAUCUGAGCCACCCAGGUGUGCCCAGGUUCACUAUUUUUUGUUAAUCAGGAUACAAGGCUCAGCACAACUUUAAGACAAACUCUUGGUGACAAUCUGUGCUUUCUCCUCUAGAGAGCCUUUAAGAGAAUGGCUUGAUCUGGGAUUGGCCUUGGUCAUGUUGACACAUGGGAGUUCACCUGUUCUGAAGUGAGCUGUGCCCAGAACAUAGUUAGUCCUAUAGGUCAAUACUUGCAUAGUAUUCUGCUGUAUGAAAGGGCUAUAUUUAACCAGUCCCGUUAAAGAAUACAGCUUACUCCUAGUGUAAAUCACACUGAAAUUAGUAGCUCUGAACAAUUUAUCUGAUUUAUCUGAAGUGGAAUUGAUGAAUUAGAGAAUACAAAUUUAAAGUUUUGAUACCAUUGCCAGAUACUCAUCCUGAAAGAUUGUACUUAUUUAUAAUUCCACCAAUGAUGCAUGAGAAUGCCUAUUCCCCACACCAACUGGACACCUUUACUCUUUUUCAUCUUGGCUAGUUGGGUGAAAAAAAAUCAUUUCUUUGAUUAUUAAUGAGGCUGAGCACCCUUCAUGCUUGUUUUGUCUGUUUUACUUUCUUUUAUAAAUUACCUUUUCCUCUUUUUCUGUUGGGCAGUUUCUGAUUUAGACUAAUUUGUCAACUUUCAUUUCUUGGCAUUUAAGCCUUAAGUAGACACAUUAUGCAUUUGAAAGCUUUGUUUCAAUCUCUGCGGAGAUUGUUCUAAUUCUUACAUGAAAUCCAGUUUCCUGAGUAAACAUGUCAAAAGUUAGCCAAAUGGUAACUGAACACCUGCAGGCCAACUCACCCUCACAUAGUGCUCUGGUGCACAGCUGCAGAAACAGGAGGUGAGUAAUGUGUGAGAAGCAGUAAAGGGCAGAGAACAAUUAACACCCAGACUGUAUUUCUCUCUACUCAAUGUCUCCAGGUGAAUGUUUCAGUAUCAUUCUGGGUCAAGGUAGAGCAAUGUACCCCUAAUUUACUCAAGUAGUUCUUAUUUCAUUUCUUCUUUCAAAAAUAUUUUACAUGGAAGAAUAAAUGCAACAAAUGUUAAAGAUAGGUCUUAAUUAUUCAACUUUAAAUGCUAUUAAAAACAAUCAUUUAUAUUAGGUAAAAGCAGCCUGUUUUCAAGUUCUUACUGUAGGUUGCUAAAGGGAAGUUUGAAGCUGGGAAAUACUGCUUCAGUUAACAUCAGCUUCUUCCUUUCUCCUCAUUUGUAAAACUUACAGAGUUAGCAAAGAAUCUGCAAAUGUCUGUGUCAGCUUAUAUAUGGUACAAAGCUCAAACCUUAAUUGAUAUAAUGAAAACAUGUCCACAAGGAAAUGUACAAUGUCUACUACAUCUAGAGGGAAGAGUCUUGUCAAAAAAAGUAAAUCUGGGACACUUGGGUGGCUCCAGAAAUCCGGGAUUUAAGUCCCGCAUCGGACUCCCUGCAAGGAGCCUGUUUCUUCCUCUGCUUGUGUCUUGGCCUCUCUCUC
rnacentral:lncRNA from 1 species